rnacentral:antisense_RNA from 1 species
CUUCAGGGAGCCCAGCAGCAGCGGCCGGUCGGUGGGGCGGUCCCGGCCGUAGGUGGCGAGCAGUGCCUGGGCCUC